AUUGAACGCUGGCGGCAGGCCUAACACAUGCAAGUCGAACGAGUGGCGGACGGGUGAGUAAUGUCUGGGAAACUGCGCGAUGGAGGGGGAUAACUACUGGAAACGGUAGCUAAUACCGCAUACCAUCGGAUGUGCCCAGAUGGGAUUAGCUUGUGGGGGAGGUAACGGCUCACCUAGGCGACGAUCCCUAGCUGGUCUGAGAGGAUGACCAGCCACACUGGAACUGUGACACGGUCCGGACUCCUACGGGAGGCAGCAGUGGGGAAUAUUGCACAAUGGGCGCAAGCCUGAGACAGCCAGGCCGCGUGUAUGAAGAAGGCCUUCGGGUUGUAAAGUACUUUCAGCGGCGAGGCGUUACCCACAGAAGAAGCACCGGCUAACUCCGUGCCAGCAGCCGCGGUAAUUC
rnacentral:rRNA from 1 species